rnacentral:misc_RNA from 1 species
AGCAGCCGCGGUAAUUCCAGCUCCAAUAGCGUAUAUUAAAGUUGUUGCAGUUAAAAAGCUCGUAGUUGAAUUUCGGGAUCAAUAUGUUGGUCGUGCCUCGGUACGUACUAGCUUAUUGGUUUCUCCUUUCUGAAGAACCAUGAUGUCAUUUAUUUGGUGUCGUGGGGAAUCAGGACUGUUACUUUGAAAAAAUUAGAGUGUUUAAAGCAGGCUCACGCUUGAAUACAUUAGCAUGGAAUAAUGAAAUAGGACGUUUGAUUCUAUUUUGUUGGUUUCUAGGAUCGACGUAAUGAUUAAUAGGGAUAGUUGGGGGCAUUAGUAUUCAAUUGUCAGAGGUGAAAUUCUUGGAUUUAUUGAAGACUAACUACUGCGAAAGCAUUUGCCAAGGAUGUUUUCAUUAAUCAAGAACGAAAGUUAGGGGAUCGAAGACGAUCAGAUACCGUCGUAGUCUUAACCAUAAACUAUGCCGACUAGGGAUCGGAUGAUGUUAAUUUUCUAAUGACUCAUUCGGCGCCUUACG